UGGGGUGUAGCUCAUUUGGUAGAGCGCUCGCUUCGCAUGCGAGAGGCACGGGGUUCUAUUCCCGCACCUCCA
rnacentral:tRNA from 1 species